rnacentral:rRNA from 1 species
AUGGCGCUCGUCCCACACGGCGGCGGCGCGGGCGGAUCGGCGACGAUGGCGAUGCCAAUGCUGACCGCGAACAACUACACGGUCUGGGCCAUCAAGGUGCAGGCGAUCCUCGACGUCCACACCGUAUGGGAGGCGGUGGCGCCUGGCGACGCGGCGGUGAACGCCAAGAAGGACAAGAUGGCGCGCGCGUUGCUCCUCGGGGCGUUGCCGGAGGAUGAGCUGCUGCAAGUGUCGACGAAGCUCACCGCCAGGGAGGCAUGGGACUCCCAGAAGGUGAGGUUCGUCGGCGUCGAUCGGGUCCGCGCGGCGAGGCUGGGGACGCUGCAUGGAGAAUUCGACCGCAUGAAGAUGGCAGAUGGCGAGGAGCUCGACGUGUACGGCGGGAGGCUCACAGCGAUGGCGGCGAGGUAUGCCAACCUCAGGGAGAGGCUGGGCGACGGAACACUUGUCAAGAAGUUGCUGGAUACGGUGCCGGAUCGCCUCUUCCCUGUCGUCGUCGGCAUCGAGCAGUUCAACGACGUGACGACGAUGGCGUUUGACGAAGCGCUCGGGCGGCUGCGCGCGUUCGACAAGCGGGUUCGGCGCCGUGGACAAGACGGCGGCGAGCGCGGGGGUAAGCAGCUGCUCAUGAGGCGGCACAGUAGGCAGCGCGGGAGCGUCGACACGGCGGUGCUCGGGACGAGGACGACGGCAAGAGCGUGGCGUCGAGCAACGGCGGGAACCGGCGCGGGCGCUGCUACAAGUGCGGAGAGCGCGGCCAUUUCAAGCGGGACUGCCCACAGCUGA